rnacentral:rRNA from 1 species
UCCCGUGAAUCAUCGAGUCUUUGAACGCAAGUUGCGCCCGAAGCCAUUAGGUUAAGGGCACGCCUGCCUGGGUGUCACGCACCGUGCUGCUCCCUAACCCCCUUUUAAUGGGCGGGGACCUUUGGGAACGAAUGCUGGCUUCCCGUGCAAACAAUGGCGCGGUUAGCUGAAAUACUAUAGUCCUUGGCGACGCGUCUCAUGACGAGUUGUGGAUAACAACGUCUUCUUCGGGUCGCCACACGACAAACUAUAAAGAUUCGUGGGACUUUGUUUACAUGAUGAAAAUAGAGGUCCCUUUGCGACCCCAGGUCAGGUGGGGCUACCCGCUGAGUUUAAGCAUAUCAAUAAGCGGAGGAA